rnacentral:rRNA from 1 species
UCUCAAGUGUGACAAGAGCAUCUGGUGGAUGCCUUGGCGUCAAGAGGCGAUGAAGGACGUGGCACUCUGCGAUAAGCUUCGGGGAGGGAGAGCACCCUUUGAUCCGGAGAUCUCCGAAUGGGGCAACCCACCGCUAUAGCGGUAUCGCAUGCUGAAUACAUAGGCAUGCGAGGCAAACCCGGCGAAGUGAAACAUCUCAGUAGCCGGAGGAAAGGACAUCAACCGAGACUCCGUUAGUAGUGGCGAGCGAACGCGGACCAGGCCAGUGGCUGGAUUGUAAGAACCGGAACCUUCUGGAAAGUAGGGCCAUAGCGGGUGAUAGCCCCGUACGGGUAGAAAGCAGUUCAGUCCUCGAGUAGGGCGGGACACGUGAAAUCCUGUCUGAAAUUGGGGGGACCACCCUCCAAGCCUAAGUACUCCUUGACGACCGAUAGUGAACCAGUACCGUGAGGGAAAGGUGAAAAGCACCCCGACGAGGGGAGUGAAAGAGACCUGAAACCGGAUGCUUACAAGCAGUGGGAGCCUCCUUGAGGGGUGACCGCGUACCUUUUGUAUAAUGGGUCAGCGAGUUGAUUUUGCGAGCAAGCUUAAGCCGUUAGGUGUAGGCGGAGCGAAAGCGAGUGUUAAUAGCGCGAUGUAGUUCGUAGGAUCAGACCCGAAACCCGGUGAUCUAGCCAUGAGCAGGUUGAAGGCGGGGUAACACCCGCUGGAGGACCGAACCCACCUAUGUUGAAAAAUGGGGGGAUGACUUGUGGUUAGGGGUGAAAGGCCAAUCAAACCGGGUAAUAGCUGGUUCUCCGCGAAAACUAUUUAGGUAGUGCGUCACGUAUUACCGCCGGGGGUAGAGCACUGGAUGGGCUAGGGGUCCCCACAGGAUUACCAAACCUAACCAAACUCCGAAUACCGGUGAGUAGAGCGUGGCAGACAGACUGUGGGUGCUAAGGUCCAUGGUCGAAAGGGAAACAGCCCAGACCGCCAGCUAAGGUCCCUAAGUCAUGGCUAAGUGGGAAAGGAUGUGGGAAGGCCAAGACAACCAGGAGGUUGGCUUAGAAGCAGCCAUCCUUUAAAGAAAGCGUAACAGCUCACUGGUCUAGUUAAGCCGUCCUGCGCCGAAGAUGUAUCGGGGCUAAAGCCAUGCACCGAAGCUGCGGACUUCUCUUCGGAGGAGUGGUAGCGGAGCGUUCCGUAGGCCUGCGAAGGUGAUCCGUGAGGAUUGCUGGAGGUAUCGGAAGUGAGAAUGCUGACAUGAGUAGCGACAAAGAGUGUGAGAGACACUCUCGCCGAAAGUCCAAGGGUUCCUCGGCAAGGCUAAUCCGCCGAGGGUGAGCCGGCUCCUAAGGCGAGGCCGAAAGGCGUAGUCGAUGGGAACCUGGUUAAUAUUCCAGGGCCUGACGGAGGUGACGAAUGGUGGAAGUAGUUCCGGCUUAUUGGAUUGUCGGGGCUGCCAAGCCGUUCCAGGAAAUAACCCCGUCGUAUAGACCGUACCCCAAACCGACACAGGUGGACUGGUAGAGCAUACCAAGGCGCUUGAGAGAACGAUGUUGAAGGAACUCGGCAAAUUGCACCCGUAACUUCGGGAUAAGGGUGACCCGUCUUUGGGCAACCAGGGGCGGGUGGCACAGACCAGGGGGUGGCGACUGUUUACUAAAAACACAGGGCUCUGCGAAGCCGCAAGGCGACGUAUAGGGUCUGACGCCUGCCCGGUGCCGGAAGGUUAAGAGGAGAGGUGAGAGCUUUGAAUCGAAGCCCCGGUAAACGGCGGCCGUAACUAUAACGGUCCUAAGGUAGCGAAAUUCCUUGUCGGGUAAGUUCCGACCUGCACGAAUGGCGUAACGACUUCCCCACUGUCUCCAACAUCGACUCAGCGAAAUUGAACUCUCCGUGAAGAUGCGGAGUACCCGCGGUUAGACGGAAAGACCCCGUGCACCUUUACUACAGCUUCAGAGUGGUAUUAGGGAAUGACUAUGUAGGAUAGGUGGGAGGCUAUGAAGCAUCGGCGUCAGUUGAUGUGGAGCCAUCCUUGAAAUACCACCUUUUUGUUCUCUGAUAUCUAACCGCGGCCCAUGAACCUGGGUCCGGGACCCUCUGUGGCGGGUAGUUUGACUGGGGCGGUCGCCUCCUAAAGAGUAACGGAGGCGCGCGAUGGUGGGCUCAAGCCGGUCGGACAUCGGCUGUUGAGUGCAAUGGCAUAAGCCCGCCUGACUGCGAGAGCGACGGUUCGAGCAGAGACGAAAGUCGGUCAUAGUGAUCCGGUGGUCCCGCGUGGAAGGGCCAUCGCUCAACGGAUAAAAGGUACGCCGGGGAUAACAGGCUGAUCGCCGCCAAGAGUCCAUAUCGACGCGGCGGUUUGGCACCUCGAUGUCGGCUCAUCACAUCCUGGGGCUGGAGCAGGUCCAAGGGUUCGGCUGUUCGCCGAUUAAAGUGGUACGUGAGCUGGGUUUAGAACGUCGUGAGACAGUUCGGUCCCUAUCUGCCGUGGGUGUUCGAGACUUGAGAGGAUCUGCCCCUAGUACGAGAGGACCGGGGUGGACGGACCUCUGGUGGACCUGUUGUGGCGCCAGCCGCAUAGCAGGGUAGCUAAGUCCGGCCGGGAUAACCGCUGAAAGCAUCUAAGCGGGAAACCCCCUCAAAACCAGGUCUCGCUUGAGAGCCGUGGAAGACCACCACGUUGAUAGGCCGGGUGUGGAAGCGCAGUAAUGUGUGAAGCUGACCGGUACUAAUGGCUCGAUUGAUCUUGAGAAC